rnacentral:rRNA from 1 species
AUGAUAGCUUACUGUUUUUUUGAGGCUAAUGAUGCUAGUGCUACUCGAGUUAACGAGCUUCUCAACAUAUACUGCAAUGCAUCUGGCCAAAGGAUCAAUGUGGACAAAUCUUCCAUUUUCUUUAGCAAGGGUGUGCCUGAAUCUACAAGAGGUACGAUCAAGAACAUCCUCGAAGUCCAUAAUGAGUCGUUAUCACAGAAGUAUCUAGGUCUGCCUUCGGAUGUGGGUAGAGCAAAGGAAGGGUCCUUUAAAUACCUAAAGGAUAGAAUUUCGAAGCGAGUACAAGGGUGGAUGGAGAAGUGUUUGUCAGCUGGGGGCAAAGAAGUCUUGAUCAAUUCGGUGGCUCAAUCCAUCCCCACAUACUCGAUGGCGUGUUUCAAAUUACCCCAUGGUUUGUGUGAUCAUAUAAGCAGAAUAAUUCAGAAAUUUUGGUGGGGUUCUAAGGAUGGCCAUAGGAAGUCAGCAUGA